GAGAGACCAAUAAAAAAGAAAUAUCUUUCCUGACAUCUCAAGAGUCUAGCAUAGUCUUGAGCUUAAGAAACAUUAAAGAAGUUCAAGUAGAAAUGUAAAGCUACCAGAGGAUAUAAGGCUAGGUUGUGAAGUAGAGGAGCCAGAGAGCUGGGAAUAACAGACCCAAGAGCAAAGUCUGAGGGUGUGUGCAAAUACUGGAGGUGACUCCUAUAUUCGAAGUUUGAUUUCUUGAUCUCUGCACUACAACAGGACACAGCUCAAUAGUCAUUUCUUUCACUGGAUGGAUUCAUUCAGCAGUAAGUAGGACAGACAGUUUGUGGGGCUGGAGCAAACACACUGGCCAGGUUUCCAAACCUGGACAGAUUAACGUAGCUCCUGCUUUUGGACUUCUAAGUCACCCAACAGACAUUAAAUUACCUGGAACCCAGAAUUGACAUCUUGAGUCUGCUACUUUGUGUUUUUGAGGGUGGAGGGUGAUAUAAGAGGUCAAAUGUGCAGUUGAUAGUUGCUAGUUAAGCUGAAAAACCAGGGAGUUGGCUUUUCUGUGUGAUGAGUCCUCAAGAUCAAUGCUAAGAAAGAGUUUCUUACCUUUGUCAUAGUCAGGCUUGGUGUCUCUAUUACACAUGUUACAAAGACCAGGACUCUUUCAAUUAUUAACACAAUUAAAUGUCAGGGUGUGACAUGUGUGGUUAGUACAUAGAAAAUCCUUUUCUUUCUCAGGGAAGUUGUUGCAAUCAUUCAAGUAAGAAAAAAAGUAAAAGAACAAGUUAAUUGUCAUUAUCAAUGGAGUUCUCAUAUGACUCUUAUGUAAUCAUAUCCUGUAACCAUGCCAUCGUAUGGACCAGGCAAAACAUGGCUCAGGAACUCUACUUGAGUUCUUGAAAACGCAUUGACUUGGCUUGUUUCUGGGGUGAAAGUCUUGUUUGGGUCUGGAAGUUUCCUAAGGCUGGGUUCUUGAGAAAGCUGAAGGUUUUGUCUAGACAAAUGAUGUUCUCCCUGAACCUAAGGCACCUUGAUGGGGGUAGAACAGCAGGAAGAAGACGACAUUUAGAGCUGUUAAGAGAUGUCUGUGUGUCUGCCUUCCAUUCCAUGCCCUUCUAGACCCAGACAAGGUUGUAGGUGGCCCGAAUAUCCAAUAAGGGAUUUUUGAGUAGAGUAAGAAGUUAUUGUACCCUCAAAUUGUGUCUUGUCCAGUUGAUGUAAGAAAGUGGGGGAGAGAGAAGAGAAAGGAAGGAUAAUGAUUUCUGCCACUGCACUGACAACCAGAUGUGGAGAAAUCACAACCAAUAUCAUAUUGCCCCAGCGUGUGCAAGCUGGGCAGGGUCCAAAGGCAACUCAUCGAGUCUGGCAGCCUAGGCCAAGGGCCUUGGGGAAGAAAACCUGCUGGGACACAGAAAGACUUGUUUGUAGUGGAAGCAUGCCUCCUGCAUAUGGCUGAAGGUAAGAGAUGACUUUGGCUUGUCCAUAGACAAAACAUCUGGCAGAUGGAGAAAAAUCCCAACACAGCACAAGUGCAGGAAGUGAUGGUUGCUGCCAAUGAGUCUGAAGGAGAGAUUUCAGGGCUUCCAUGAGUUCUUUAGAGCAGAAAGGGCCUGCUGAGGUGAUCAGGAACCUGUCAGAGAUAUUGUAAGAAGUCACAGCAACAAGAGGGGGCUGUGUCCUUUCAUCACCAAGGACAAUUUCAGUUCUUUUUCUGCACAUGUUGAUUUCUCACACUAUUGUUAGAAAUAAAACAAACAAACAAAACAGUGCUUAGGAUCUGGAAGGUAGUUCAACCAGUAGAGUGCUUACUGGUACAAGCAACAGGACCUGAGUUCAAACCCCACAUCCCAUGUAAAAAAAGCAACAGCUGGCAUACCUGUGAUCUCAGUUUUGGGAAGAUGUAGUUGGGUGGAUCCCUGAGACUCCCUGGUCAACCAAUCUAGCCAAAUGGGCAAAGCUCACAUUAGUGAGGGAAUGUGUUUCAAAAAAUAAGAUGGAAGCCAGUUCAGCUAUCUCAGUUGACAGAGCAUGAGACUCUUAAUUUCAGGGUUGUGGGUUCAUGCCCCAUGUUGGGCACCAGAUAUUGCUUGGGGAUCAAGAUUCACUAGACUCAGUACAGCCUAAGUGAAGUUUAUUCAGAGAGAGUGCACUUACAAAAAAAGCAGGUAACUGCCACAGGUUCCAGUUCCGAGGAUCCACCCAGGCUGUCCUCUGUGACCCAACUAGAAGCAAAAGAGCAUACUGGGGUCGGAACACCAGAUCUUGUCCUACCUGUGACCACACCCAAAUGGGCGUGGUCAGUGCUACAGGUGUGUGUGGGGGUGAAUAUCUCACUACAAUAGUAUGUAGUUCCUGAGGAAUUACAUCCAGGAUUGACCUCUGGCCUCCAUUCACAUGCACACAUGUGCAAGUAAGUGUACCUAUACAUGUGUACCUGUGUACAUUUACAUGUUCACACACAUACACACACACUAUGCUUAACUUAAGCUAGUUAAUUCUCUGUCUUAUUAGGACACAGUUUCUAGGCAGAGUCCACAAUACCAUUUGUUUCAUUUUGUUGUCAUUUUGUAUACAGAAAUUUGAUUUCCAUAAGACCUCAAUUUGUAUCAAAGAAUGCCAAUCUCUAGCUUCUUUGCCAAAAAGAACCUUGCCAAAUUGAGAUCAGUUUUGAAAAACCAAAGAAAAAUGAAUGUGUCUUAAAGGUUUAAUUGUAUUAUUUCCCUCUUUAUCUUUUGAUGACUUUGACAGAUGGGACUCUCACAAUAUACUCAUUGUUCAGCUGGAAACCCCAUGAAGUUGUAACCUGAACCCCUUGUCCCUGAGGCCAUUUGAUGGCCUUCAUCCAAUGGUAUCUGUGGACCCCAGUGGAGAGCAUGUCUGUUCUCCAUCUCUGGCUCUGGGAGAGACAAGGUUACCAUCAAGACUGCCGUACCAUGAAGAUCUGGAUAGGAGGGUACCAGAAACUCUGACUGUGAACAGUAAAAGAAACUACUAUGGAAAAUGAAGCCUUGGGAGAUCACUGGCAUUCUAAAUGGCAUGGCAGUGAAUGAAAAGGAAACACAGAGACAAACAGUACCAUGAAAGUUUGCCAAGAAGGAACUGCAUAGACCAUGAUUUGAGACUUCCCACCAAACUCUAGGAGCUACAAUUCAAUAGAUAAAGUGUUUAAAUCUCUUAAGGGAAAGAGGUACUAACAUAGACUCUACACCAAACCAAAUUAGCAAUCAGUUAUGAGAGCAAACUAAAGACAUGUUCAGACACUAACAACAAUGUCAAAAUAGUCAUUCAUCUCUGCCUGCUCCCUCUCAUUCCUGGACACAUUAUUUUUCUGGGAAAAUGCUGUGUGUGAGUUCCAAACCAAGACAAGCAAUUCAGGAAGUUAGGGCCCAUGGCCAGAGAAACUAAAGGAAUUCCCAAGGUAAAGAUCAAGAAAGGCCCAUAAGAACUUCUGAGAGAUAACCAAACAACUAGUCCAGAUCAGAAUGAGAAAACAGAGUUCAAGGAGGAGACUCAUCAACAAAUGACACCAAAACAUAAAACUAGUAUGUUAGACUACAUAGGGACUUAAUCAUACAAGGAAAGGGAAAGAAUAGAGAAGAGAAAUGGGUGGGGAGUCGGAAUGUAACAUAUUAGGAAAACAACCAAUAAACAUCUAGAGUAUUAGGAUUUUUCUAAGGAUGAAAUCAUGACCAUAUCAGGGCAAUGGGCAAGAUGUCAAGAUGGAGAGGAAAGGCCAGAAUUAGCGCUAUUUAAACCAAGGAGGAUGAUGGUGACGGGGAGGGGUCUUGUAGACAGGAGGCACGGAGAAGAGAACAGAAUUCACAGACAUGUGUAAGGUCUCUGAGAACACAGAGAAUAACGUCUUCACAUGAAACAGGAGAAUAGCCUCAAGAAGAUUUAAUCUUUUUUUUCAAGCACGGCAAUGGUGUAAAGUUGAAAUCUUCCUGUUUUCUUUUAAAAUAAAAUUAUGUAAAACAAAACUCACCAGGGUUUGAUAUACCCCAAGAGUUCUGUAAACACAGCCUACAUCUAAGUUCAACUGUCUCAUCAAUCCCUGGAGGAAUUGUCUGUCCCUUAAUACCCCUAUUUUCAAACCCUUCAAGACUAGGUGCACUAUGCUAUGCAUAUGGGAUUUUGAGUUCUACAAUGUAGCCUACACAAUCUGUCAUGUUGCGUGAUAGUCUUCUUCCAUUCAAUAUAGAGUAUUCAAGAUUUAACCCUGGCAUAGCGUGUGUAUUUUUAACUAUUAUUAUCUUAUGUAAAUACGCCUUGGUAUUGUUUUUCCCAGGCCAUCAACAUUCAGAUUAUUUCUA